rnacentral:rRNA from 1 species
GACGAACGCUGGCGGCGUGCCUAAUACAUGCAAGUUGAGCGCUGAAGGUUGGUACUUGUACCGACUGGAUGAGCAGCGAACGGGUGAGUAACGCGUGGGGAAUCUGCCUUUGAGCGGGGGACAACGUUUGGAAACGAAUGCUAAUACCGCAUAAAAACUUUAAACACAAGUUUUAGGUUUGAAAGAUGCAAUUGCAUCACUCAAAGAUGAUCCCGCGUUGUAUUAGCUAGUUGGUGAGGUAAAGGCUCACCAAGGCGAUGAUACAUAGCCGACCUGAGAGAGUGAUCGGCCACAUUGGGACUGAGACACGGCCCGAACUCCUACGGGAGGCAGCAGUAGGGAAUCUUCGGCAAUGGACGAAAGUCUGACCGAGCAACGCCGCGUGAGUGAAGAAGGUUUUCGGAUCGUAAAACUCUGUUGGUAGAGAAGAACGUUGGUGAGAGUGGAAAGCUCAUCAAGUGACGGUAACUACCCAGAAAGGGACGGCUAACUACGUGCCAGCCGCCGCUGUAA